rnacentral:rRNA from 1 species
GACGAACGCUGGCGGCGUGCCUAAUACAUGCAAGUAGAACGCUGAAGGAGGAGCUUGCUUCUCUGGAUGAGCUGCGAACGGGUGAGUAACGCGUAGGUAACCUGCCUGGUAGCGGGGGAUAACUAUUGGAAACGAUAGCUAAUACCGCAUAAUAUUGACUAUUGCAUGAUAGUCAGUUGAAAGGUGCAACUGCACCACUACCAGAUGGACCUGCGUUGUAUUAGCUAGUUGGUGGGGUAACGGCUCACCAAGGCGACGAUACAUAGCCGACCUGAGAGGGUGAUCGGCCACACUGGGACUGAGACACGGCCCAGACUCCUACGGGAGGCAGCAGUAGGGAAUCUUCGGCAAUGGACGGAAGUCUGACCGAGCAACGCCGCGUGAGUGAAGAAGGUUUUCGGAUCGUAAAGCUCUGUUGUAAGAGAAGAACGAGUGUGAGAGUGGAAAGCUCACACUGUGACGGUAUCUUACCAGAAAGGGACGGCUAACUACGUG